AGCAAUUUUCCUCUUCAUAUUUGGUGCUAUGGUCAGCUCCAAAGUCAUGGAUUUAAAAAGAAUGUUAUUUAAAGUAUAUAAUAAAAAAGAAGUAUUGCUUUCAUAGCUUGCGUAGCUGCUUCAACUGGGGAAAGGGCUUCUAUUUAAAGACAUGAUGAGGUCUAAGAGCUGGACAAGCUCAUCAAAUGGCAACAGGAAUUUGCCAGCCACAAAGUCUGAUAAAGCAUACAACAAAUGGACUGCUUCCUUCAGUACCGGCAACCUUUCAUAUCUAGGGCCGCUGUAUCCCUGGGUUCAACCACCUGUGGACUGAAAGUACCUGGGGAGUAAAACUGUGUCGGCAUUGGAUGCACA